GUUCCCGUCUGUUCUCUGAGACGUGAGGAUUUCCGUGCAUCAGCUCUUGGGGUGUAAACAAUUUUCCACGCGAGGGAAUAUAAUGCAUAAAUACAGAUAUUUCUCGAUACUCCUCGAAUUGAACUUGUUCAGUUUAUCUUUUUGGGAUUUCCUUUCAUUGGAAAAGAAAAAUUUUCCCCAAAACAUCAAAGAACGGAAAAUCGAAGGAUGAAAGAGCGACCAAGCGUAUCUACAGAUAUAUAUAUAUAUCGCAUUGGUUGGUUGGAUUAUAACCUUCAGCUCAUCAUGGGAGUAAACAACUCAAGCUAGCAGCUAGGUGAUUCCUCAGAUGGUAGUCUCGUAAAUUAAAACAAAAGAAAACAAUACAAUCAGUGUCUGGUACUGAUGUAUCAUGCUUAGUCUAUUUUGCACCUACCAAGUUCAAUCAAUGUACACUUUUAUUUCUGUAUAUUUUUGUUUUUCUUUUGAGCAUUAGAAAUCGUUUCACGAAUGAUUCGAAAUGUCUUAAUGGAAUGUAGAUUAGUACUAUACUGCUAAAACCAAUAUACAGCUUUUUCAACAAAAAAAAAAAACUUUGGUGAAGGUUUAGUUGUUUACUAAGCUUGAAAUGCAUUAUAUACAUAUGUAAAUAAUACACAAGGAAAAAAAACCGGAAAAACGUGCAGACAAAGUUGAGGAGAAUUUCAUAUUGUUGUAGCCUGCGUGCAGCCAGACUUUUCUCUCGUAUAGACUUAACAGACAGUUAGAGGCCGGCUGCACGCAGGCUAAUAUUGUUGACCUUUCGCUAAUUGAAUUCACGUCGCCCAUAGUGCAUUUCGGGCAUACAACAUUCAACAAAAACCUUUAUCGAUCUUUCUUGCAAAUAGCUGGAUGCCCGAAGAAAACCUAACGUUAUGUUGAGCAGCACCAGUUUUCGGGCAAAUCUCAAAUAAUAAUGAUGAUAAUAAUAAUAAUAAUAAUAAUAAUGAUAAUGAUGAUGAUGAUAAUGAAUUUAUUUCAAUCGAGGGUAACAGCCUUUACCUUAAUUAAAAUAGAUAAUUUUUAGUUGGUCCUCAAUGAAGAAGAGGAACGUCCCUCAUGGCUUUAGAAAGUGACAAGGCAGCUCGGACAGGUAUCGAAUAGAAAGGGAAAACAAUAUGGUGUUCCUGUAUGUAAUAUCACUUGUGCUGCCGGGGGGUAUUACAUUAUUUAAUCAUCCACUAUACUAGUGCCAUAAUUAUACAUAUAUAUAUAUAUAUAUAUAUAUAUUAUAUAUAGACUUAUAUAUACCAGUAUACAUAUCCACCUCUAUUUACAUCAAGAUAUAUAUUAGUGGAAUUAUUAAGCUCAUGGGUUGCCUAUGGUACAGCAUGCCACAGGGUAACCAGCUGGAAAAAGAGAUUUUAAAAUCUUGCAAACUUUUUCCAAGCAUUUGGCUACAAGGAGAAGAAUGCUUUGGAAGAUCGUUUUUGGGUCGAACGAUCACGUGUUAGAAGAUUCUUUGUUUGAGUUGUAUCCAUAUUCAUGUGUCUUCUUAUGUGCAACCGUUAAGCAAAGAAAUGGUACUGCAGGAAAUGAUAUGUAGAAUAAAUGUCUGACAACGUGCAAAGCAUUCUGGUCGUGGUAGUCAACUAACAAUAACACGUAAACGAACUAAAAUACUCAUACCACAUGUCAUAUCAGUGUCAUGACAGGAUCUCUACACCAACACCCAACAUGUAACGCCAUACCAGUACAUGUCAUAUCAGUGUCAUGACAGGAUCUCUACACUAACACCCAACAUGUAACGCCAUACAUUACAUGUCAUAUCAGUGUCAUGACAGGAUCUCUA